UCCCUGGUGGCCCAGUGGUUAGGGCUCCACACUUCCACUAUAGAGGGCGGGUUCAAUCCCCGGUCAGGGAA
rnacentral:tRNA from 1 species